rnacentral:rRNA from 1 species
GUCUAUGGCCAUGCCACCCUGAACAAGCCCGAUCCCAUCUGAUCUCGAAAGCUAAGCAGGAUCGGGCCUGGUUAGUACUUGGGUGGAAACCACCUAGGAAGACCAGGUGCUAUAGGUG